AACGAACGCUGGCGGCAUGCCUAACACAUGCGAGUCGAACGAGACCUUCGGGUCUAGUGGCGCACGGGUGCGUAACGCGUGGGAACCUGCCUUUAGGUUCGGAAUAACUCAGAGAAAUUUGAGCUAAUACCGGAUGAUGUCUUCGGACCAAAGAUUUAUCGCCUUUAGAUGGGCCCGCGUUGGAUUAGCUAGUUGGUGGGGUAAAGGCCUACCAAGGCGACGAUCCAUAGCUGGUCUGAGAGGAUGAUCAGCCACACUGGGACUGAGACACGGCCCAGACUCCUACGGGAGGCAGCAGUGGGGAAUAUUGGACAAUGGGCGAAAGCCUGAUAAAGCAAUGCCGGGUGAGUGAUGAAGGCCUUAGGGUUGUAAAGCUCUUUUACCCGAGAUGAUAAUGACAGUAUCGGGAGAAUAAGCGCCGGCUAACUCCGUG
rnacentral:rRNA from 1 species